ensembl:ncRNA Y16B4A.4 ncRNA
CGGUUUGGGUCCGACGGCCUCCCGUCCAAGUACGCCUGAUAGAUGCAACAAGGAGAGGAAUAACGGAGCGAGUGUGAGGAUUGAGCCAGCUGACUGUGAAUUAUGGUUAUGGAGAUAUGCCUGAUUAGCCGGAA